rnacentral:rRNA from 1 species
UACGAAGGGGGCUAGCGCUGCUCGGAAUCACUGGGCGUAAAGGGUGCGUAGGCGGGUCUUUUAAGUCAGGGGUGAAAUCCUGGAGCUCAACUCCAGAACUGCCUUUGAUACUGAAGAUCUUGAGUUCGGGAGAGGUGAGUGGAACUGCGAGUGUAGAGGUGAAAUUCGUAGAUAUUCGCAAGAACACCAGUGGCGAAGGCGGCUCACUGGCCCGAUACUGACGCUGAGGCACGAAAGCGUGGGGAGCAAACAGG